rnacentral:rRNA from 1 species
AGGUGCGAUCAUACCAGCACUAAUACACUGCAUCCCAUCGGAACUCCGAAGUUAAGCGUGCUUGGGCGAGAGUAGUACUAAGAUGGGCUUUGUCAUAGGACUUCCACAGACACAGGCA